rnacentral:misc_RNA from 1 species
GAUGAAGAACGUAGCGAAAUGCGAUAAGUAAUGCGAAUUGCAGAAUCCGUGAGUCAUCGAGUCUUUGAACGCACAUUGCGCCCCCUGGUAUUCCGGGGGGCAUGCCUGUCCGAGCGUCAUUGCUGCCCUCAAGCCCGGCUUGUGUGUUGGGUCUCGUCCCCCUUCCCGGGGGGACGGGCCCGAAAGGCAGCGGCGGCACCGCGUCCGGUCCUCGAGCGUAUGGGGCUUUGUCACCCGCUCUGUAGGCCCGGCCGGCGCUUGCCGAUCAACCAAAACUUUUUUCCAGGUUGACCUCGGAUCAGGUAGGGAUACCCGCUGAACUUAAGCAUAUCAAUAAGCGGAGGA